rnacentral:rRNA from 1 species
AUUGAACGCUGGCGGAAUGCUUUACACAUGCAAGUCGAACGGUAGAGGGGGCAACCCCUCGAGAGUGGCGAACGGGUGAGUAAUAUAUCGGAACGUGCCCAGUCGUGGGGGAUAACGUAGCGAAAGUUAAGCUAAUACCGCAUACGAUCUAAGGAUGAAAGCGGGGGAUCGCAAGACCUCGCGCGAUUGGAUCGGCCGAUAUCAGAUUAGGUAGUUGGUGGGGUAAAGGCGCACCAAGCCAACGAUCGGUAGCUGGUCUGAGAGGACGACCAGCCACACUGGAACUGGGACACGGUCCAGACUCCUACGGGAGGCAGCAGUGGGUAAUUUUGGACAAUGGACGCAAGUCUGAUCCAGCCAUUCCGCGUGCAGGAUGAAGGCCCUCGGGUUGUAAACUGCUUUUGUACGGAACGAAAAGGUCUCUCUUAAUACGGGGGACUCAUGACGGUACCGUGAGAAUAAGCACCGGCUAACUACGUGCCAGCAGUCGCCGUAA